GCCGGGGCGGCCGGCGGGCUGAGGGACGGGAGGAAUGUCUAAUGCUGGGAGCCUUCUGAAAUCUGCCAGGUGUGAAUCAGGUGCUUUGGCUGAUUCCCAGCCCCUCUGAACAAAGCUUGAUAUUCAGGAUGUGGUACUGCUGAUUCAGCGCACUGAGAAUGAUCUGGGGAGUGUGGAAAUAAAGUGAACUGAGUGUCAAGUGUUACUUCUGCUAACUGACCUAACCUGAAUAUGCAGUCUGUAACUGUGGCAAUUUUGCACGGAGAAGUCAUGGAGAUGGCUGGGUUAGAGGAUGUAAAGUUCCUGUAAAGUCUAAAAGGAAAGUGAAAGGGUUAUGCCUUUACCUUUGAUUUGACUGAAUAUUGCAAACAGAAAGCUAGAACUUUCUUACUUACUUGUCACCUUACUCUGAGGGACAUCCAUCUGGUGUAUUUUUGGAACACAUAGACAAAUUUACAGAAGACUGGACCACAGUGCCCUAAAUUUCCCUACAUCAUUGGAGAAAGAUGCUGAAGUUGUUUAAAUGAGGAAACCACAAAGAAAAUGCUCCCAUUAUCGUUUGGCUGCAUUUUGUAGUUUUAAUAGAUGGGAACUCACUGGACUUGGUGUCAUCCACCUCAGGUAACGUGCUCCCAUUGAAUCUAAUCCAAAUUAACUGGAGAAGAACCCUUUGCUCUUGAUACUUACACAGAUAAGGGAGGCAACAGAAAAAAUGAUGUGGUUUAGUCUACAGAGGAAAUCUGCUCUCCUUAUGUAAUUGAUGUGCCAUUCAGAUAGUCAUUAUGUCAACCUAAAUACAGUGCUAAUGUGCCCAAUUAUUUAGCUAUGUAUUCACAGUGCAUUGAGCAGUGUAUUUGGUAUUUCCCCACAAAACUUUUCAAAACCUUCCUCAAAAGCUUGAAUCGGAAGAGGAGCAAACAAUAUAGCAAAGUCAUACAAACAGAUAUUGGAAUAUCAAAUUUUUUGUUACUAUUUUUAAUUUUAAGGUGAACAACAGAAUCAAAAUUCAGGCUGUAAUACCACUGCACCCUCAAAUACAGGCAAUGAGUAAUAAUACAGACUUAGAAAGGAUAGAAUCAUAGAAUUGCUCAGGUUGGAAAGGACCUUCAAGAUCACCAAGUCC